UACGUAGGGUCCGAGCGUUGUUCGGAAUUACUGGGCGUAAAGGGCUCGUAGGCGGCCAACUAAGUCCGACGUGAAAUCCCAAGGCUUAACCUUGGAACUGCGUCGGAUACUGGAUGGCUUGAAUUCGGGAGAGGGAUGCAGAAUUCCAGGUGUAGCGGUGAAAUGCGUAGAUAUCUGGAGGAAUACCGGUGGCGAAGGCGGCAUCCUGGACCGACAUUGACGCUGAUGAGCGAAAGCUAGGGGAGCAAACGGG
rnacentral:rRNA from 1 species